GGGCCCGCACAAGCGGUGGAGUAUGUGGUUUAAUUCGAUGCAACGCGAAGAACCUUACCAGGGUUUGACAUCCUGCGAAUCUCUUGGAAACAGGAGAGUGCCUUCGGGAACGCAGUGACAGGUGGUGCAUGGCUGUCGUCAGCUCGUGUCGUGAGAUGUUGGGUUAAGUCCCGCAACGAGCGCAACCCACGUCUUUAGUUGCCAGCAUUUAGUUGGGCACUCUAGAGAGACUGCCGGUGAUAAACCGGAGGAAGGUGUGGAUGACGUCAAGUCAUCAUGCCCCUUACAUCCUGGGCUACACACGUACUACAAUGGCCGAGACAAAGAGCAGCUAACUCGCGAGAGUACGCAAAUCUCAUAAACCGUGGCUCAGUUCAGAUCGUAGGCUGCAACUCGCCUACGUGAAGGAGGAAUCGCUAGUAAUCGCAGGU
rnacentral:rRNA from 1 species